UACGUAGGGAGCAAGCGUUGUUCGGAUUUACUGGGCGUAAAGGGCGCGUAGGCGGCAUAUUAAGUCAUCUGUGAAAUCUCCGAGCUUAACUCGGAACUGUCAGCUGAUACUGAUGUGCUAGAGUGCGGAAGGGGCAAUCGGAAUUCUUGGUGUAGCGGUGAAAUGCGUAGAUAUCAAGGGGAACACCUGAGGUGAAGACGGGUUGCUGGGCCGACACUGACGCUGAGUGCGCGAAAGCCAGGGGAGCAAACGGG
rnacentral:rRNA from 1 species